rnacentral:rRNA from 1 species
CUUUCAGUCGUGAGGAAGGUAGUGUAGUUAAUAGACUGCAUUAUUUGACCGUUAGCGACAGAAGAAGCACCGGCUAACUUCCGUGCCAGCAGCCGCGGUAAUACCGGGAGGGUGCGAGCGUUAAAUCGGAAUUACUGGGCGUAAAGCGCAUGCAGGUGGUUUGUUAAGUCAGAUGUGAAAGCCCCGGGGCUCAACCUCGGAAUAGCAUUUGAAACUGGCAGACUAGAGUACUGUAGAGGGGGUAGAAUUUCAGGUGUAGCGGUGAAAUGCGUAGAGAUCUGAAGGAAUACCGGUGGCGAAGGCGGCCCCCUGGACAGAUACUGACACUCAGUAUCGCGAAAGCGUGGGGAGCCAAACAGGAUUAGACUACCCUGGUAG